GAUGAACGCUGGCGGCGUGCCUAAUACAUGCAAGUCGAGCGAACAGACGAGGAGCUUGCUCCUCUGACGUUCGCGGCGGACGGGUGAGUAACACGUGGAUAACCUUCCUAUAAGACUGGGAUAACUUCGGGAAACCGGAGCUAAUACCGGAUAAUAUAUUGAACCGCAUGGUUCAAUAGUGAAAGACGGUUUUGCUGUCACUUAUAGAUGGAUCCGCGCCGCAUUAGCUAGUUGGUAAGGUAACGGCUUACCAAGGCAACGAUGCGUAGCCGACCUGAGAGGGUGAUCGGCCACAUUGGAACUGAGACACGGUCCAGACUCCUACGGGAGGCAGCAGUAGGGAAUGUUCCGCAAUGGGCGAAAGCCUGACGGAGCAACGCCGCGUGAGUGAUGAAGGUCUUCGGAUCGUAAAACUCUGUUAUUAGGGAAGAACAAAUGUGUAAGUAACUAUGCACGUCUUGACGGUACCUAAUCAGAAAGCCACGGCUAACUACGUG
rnacentral:rRNA from 1 species